rnacentral:rRNA from 1 species
AGCCAGUGGUGAACUCCACAUACGCAUCCUUUGCUGAGGAUACGGUUAACGGAGCGAGAGCGACGUUUAACCGCAAAAGAAGCAGAGGGGGCUUAGUGGUGGGGUGACUGCGUACCUUUUGUAUAAUGGGUCAGCGACUUAUAUUCUGUAGCAAGGUUAACCGCAUAGGGGAGCCGGAGGGAAACCGAGUCUUAAUUGGGCGUUAAGUUGCAGGGUAUAGACCCGAAACCCGGUGAUCUAGCCAUGGGCAGGUUGAAGGUUGGGUAACACUAACUGGAGGACCGAACCGACUAAUGUUGAAAAAUUAGCGGAUGACCUGUGGCUGGGGGUGAAAGGCCAAUCAAACCGGGAGAUAGCUGGUUCUCCCCGAAAGCUAUUUAGGUAGCGCCUCGUGAAUUCAUCUCCGGGGGUAGAGCACUGUUUCGGCCAGGGGGCCAUCCCGGCUUACCAAUCCGAUGCAAACUGCGAAUACCGGAGAAUGUUAUCACGGGAGACACACGGCGGGUGCUAACGUCCGUCGUGAAGAGGGAAACAACCCAGACCGCCAGCUAAGGUCCCAAAGUCAUGGUUAAGUGGGAAACGAUGUGGGAAGGCCCAGACAGCCAGGAUGUUGGCUUAGAAGCAGCCAUCAUUUAAAGAAAGCGUAAUAGCUCACUGGUCGAGUCGGCCUGCGCGGAAGAUGUAACGGGGCUAAACCAU